AUGAGAAGUCUUCUUCUUUAUGAUGAAUCCACCACAACUGCAGCAUCACUACUGAUUUGCAGUAUCUGUACGACCUUCCACAUCCUUAUAACCAAAAAGUUAGAAGUGGAAUUGAUGGUUUUCUUGUCUUUUUCUUUCGAUCAACAGAAGUCAGAAGAUGGAACGGUUGGAAUUUUCGCAUGGCCAAAGAAGAAUUGCAAAAACACCGUGUAG